UGAGUAACACGUAUCCAACCUGCCGUCUACUCUUGGACAGCCUUCUGAAAGGGAGAUUAAUACAAGAUGGCAUCAUGAGUCCGCAUGUUCACAUGAUUAAAGGUAUUUCGGUAGACGAUGGGGAUGCGUUCCAUUAGAUAGUAGGCGGGGUAACGGCCCACCUAGUCUUCGAUGGAUAGGGGUUCUGAGAGGAAGGUCCCCCACAUUGGAACUGAGACACGGUCCAAACUCCUACGGGAGGCAGCAUG
rnacentral:rRNA from 1 species